GAAACUACAAAUGAAUUGACGGGACCCGCACAAGCGGUGGAUGAUGUGGUUUAAUUCGAUGCAACGCGAAAACCUUACCCACCUUUGACAUGGCAGGAAUCCUAAAGAGAUUUGGGAGUGCUCGAAAGAGAACCUGCACACAGGUGCUGCAUGGCUGUCGUCAGCUCGUGUCGUGAGAUGUUGGGUUAAGUCCCGCAACGAGCGCAACCCUUGCCAUUAGUUGCUACGAAAGGGCACUCUAAUGGGACUGCCGGUGACAAACCGGAGGAAGGUGGGGAUGACGUCAAGUCCUCAUGGCCCUUAUAGGUGGGGCUACACACGUCAUACAAUGGCCGGUACAGAGGGUAGCCAACCCGCGAGGGGGAGCCAAUCCCACAAAGCCGGUCGUAGUCCGGAUCGCAGUCUGCAACUCGACUGCGUGAAGUCGGAAUCGCUAGUAAUCGCGGAUCAGCAUGUCGCGGUGAAUACGUUCCCGGGUCUU
rnacentral:rRNA from 1 species